UAUGUAGUCAAAUACUACCGAUC
rnacentral:snRNA from 1 species